rnacentral:rRNA from 1 species
AUUGAACGCUGGCGGCAGGCCUAACACAUGCAAGUCGAACGAGUGGCGGACGGGUGAGUAAUGUCUGGGAAACUGCCCGAUGGAGGGGGAUAACUACUGGAAACGGUAGCUAAUACCGCAUACCAUCGGAUGUGCCCAGAUGGGAUUAGCUAGUAGGUGGGGUAACGGCUCACCUAGGCGACGAUCCCUAGCUGGUCUGAGAGGAUGACCAGCCACACUGGAACUGAGACACGGUCCAGACUCCUACGGGAGGCAGCAGUGGGGAAUAUUGCGCAAUGGGGGCAAGCCUGACGCAGCCAUGCCGCGUGAAUGAAGAAGGCCUUCGGGUUGUAAAGUACUUUCAGUGGGGAGGCGUUAACCGCAGAAGAAGCACCGGCUAACUCCGUGCCAGCAGCCGCGGUAAUAC